rnacentral:misc_RNA from 1 species
UCCGGUUUGUCACCGGCAGUCUCCUUAGAGUGCCCUUGCGGGCUCAUUACCGUUUCCGGUUCUUAAUACCAGCAUGUCAAACCUGGGUAAGGUUCUUCGCGUUGCGUCGAAUUAAACCACAUGCACCACCGCUUGUGCGGGCCCCCGUCAAUUCCUUUGAGUUUCAACCUUGCGGCCGUACUCCCCAGGCGGGGAACUUACUCCGUUAGGUGCGGCACCGGCAGUAACCUGCCGACACUUAGUUCCCAUCGUUUAGGGCGUGGACUAC